AUUCAAGUGCUUAAGGGCAUCUGGUGAAUGCCUAUGGCGAUCAAAGGCGAUGAAGGACGUGGCAGGCUGCGAUAAGCUGCGGUGAGGGGUCAACACCCGUUAACCCGCAGAUUUCCGAAUGGGGAAACCCACCUCUUUUGAGGUAUUGUGUACUGAAUACAUAGGUGCACAAAGCGAACCAGGGGAAUUGAAACAUCUCAGUACCCUGAGGAAAGGACAUCAACCGAGACUCCGUUAGUAGUGGCGAGCGAAAGCGGAUCAGCCCAGUGGCAUGAUUGUAAGAACGGGAAGCUGUUGGAAACCAGCUCCAAAGUGGGUGAUAGACCCGUACCGGUAGAAAGCAAUCAUGUCCUCGAGUAAGGCGGGACACGUGUAAUCCUGUCUGAAAUUAGGGGGACCAUCCUCUAAGGCUAAGUACUCUUGAUCGACCGAUAGUGAACAAGUACCGUGAGGGAAAGGUGAAAAGAACCCCGAUGAGGGGAGUGAAACAGACCUGAAACCGGAUGCCUACAAACAGAGGGAGGGAGCUUGUCUCCUGACCUCGUACCUUUUGUAUUAUGGGUCAGCGAGUUAGUCUUGCAUGCGAGCUUAAGCCGUUAGGUGGAGGCGUAGGGAAACCGAGUCUGAAUAGGGCGUCAAGUAUGCAGGAUUAGAUCCGAAACCCGGUGAUCUAGCCAUGACCAGGCUGAAGUGUGGGUAACACCACAUGGAGGGCCGAACCCACGCCUGUUGAAAAAGUCGGGGAUGAGUUGUGGCUAGGGGUGAAAGGCCAAUCAAACCGGGUGAUAGCUGAUUCUCCGCGAAAUCUAUUUAGGUAGAGCCUCAUGUGAAUACCCUCGGGGGUAGAGCACUGGAAGGGCUAGGGGGGCGCAAGCCUUACCAAACCUUACCAAACUCCGAAUACCGAGGAGUACUGCAUGGGAGUCACACAGUGGGUGAUAAGGUCCAUUGUGAAAAGGGAAACAGCCCAGACCUACAGCUAAGGUCCCAAAAUCAUGACUAAGUGGAAAAGGAUGUAGGAUUUCCAAGACAACCAGGAUGUUGGCUUAGAAGCAGCCACCAUUUAAAGAAAGCGUAAUAGCUCACUGGUCUAAUUAAGAGAUCCCGCGCCGAAGAUGUAUCGGGGCUCAAGUCAUGUACCGAAGCUUAGGGUUUAUACUUUCGAGUAUAAGCGGUAGCGGAGCGUUCUGUAAGUCUGCGAAGGUCAACCGUGAGGUUGGCUGGAGAUAUCAGAAGUGAGAAUGCUGACAUAAGUAGCGACAAAGAGUGUGAGAAACACUCUCGCCGAAAUUCCAAGGGUUCCUGUCCAAGGUUAAUCCGGGCAGGGUGAGUCGACCCCUAAGACGAGGCCGAACGGCGUAGUCGAUGGGAAUCACGUUAAUAUUCGUGAACCAGUAGAAGGUGACGGUGGCCGUAAGUGGUGUGAUCUUAUUGGAUUGAUCAUGCCAUGAAGGACAUCCAGGAAAUAGCCUCUACAUAGAUCGUACCCGAAACCGACACAGGUGGAAUGGUAGAGAAUACCCAGGCGCUUGAGAGAACUAUUCUGAAGGAACUCGGCAAAUUACAUGCGUAACUUCGGAAGAAGCAUGACCCAUUCGUAGGCAACUAUGGAUGGGUGGCACAAACUAGGGGGUGGCGACUGUUUAUCAAAAACACAGGGCUCUGCGAAGUCUUUAAGACGACGUAUAGGGUCUGACGCCUGCCCGGUGCUGGAAGGUUAAGAGGAGAUGUGCAAGCAUUGAAUCGAAGCCCCAGUAAACGGCGGCCGUAACUAUAACGGUCCUAAGGUAGCGAAAUUCCUUGUCGGGUAAGUUCCGACCUGCACGAAUGGCGUAACGACUUCCCCACUGUCUCCAGAGUAGACUCAGCGAAAUUGAAUUCCCCGUGAAGAUGCGGGGUUCCCGCGGUCAGACGGAAAGACCCUAUGAACCUUUACUAUAACUUUACAGUGGCACGUCGAUUUUUUUGUGCAGCAUAGGUGGGAGCCUUUGAAGCCGUCACGUCAGUGGCGGUGGAGGCACAGGUGAGAUACCACCCUAAGAUUUUGCCGUGUCUAACCUCGUCCCGUUAUCCGGGACAGGGACCCUGUAUGGUGGGUAGUUUGACUGGGGCGGUCGCCUCCCAAACAGUAACGGAGGCGCGCGAUGGUGAGCUCAGGACGGUCGGAAAUCGUCCAUCGAGUGCAAUGGCAUAAGCUCGCCUGACUGCGACACAAACAAGUGGAGCAGAGACGAAAGUCGGUCAUAGUGAUCCGGUGGUUCCUCAUGGAAGGGCCAUCGCUCAACGAAUAAAAGGUACUCUAGGGAUAACAGGCUGAUAGCGCCCAAGCGUCCACAGCGACGGCGCUGUUUGGCACCUCGAUGUCGGCUCAUCUCAUCCUGGGGCUGUAGAAGGUCCCAAGGGUAUGGCUGUUCGCCAUUUAAAGAGGUACGUGAGCUGGGUUCAGAACGUCGUGAGACAGUUCGGUCCCUAUCUGCCGUGGGUGUUGGAGUCUUGAGAAGAGCUGUCCCUAGUACGAGAGGACCGGGAUGGACGCACCUCUGGUGCACCUGUUGUCACGCCAGUGGCAUCGCAGGGUAGCUAUGUGCGGACGGGAUAAACGCUGAAAGCAUCUAAGCGUGAAGCCUCCUUCAAAACAAGGACUCCCUAUCAGAGCCGUGGAAGACCACCACGUUGAUAGGCCAGAUGUGGAAGGGCAGUAAUGCCUGAAGCUAACUGGUACUAAUUGCUCGAUUGACUUGAAUUC
rnacentral:rRNA from 1 species